rnacentral:misc_RNA from 1 species
UAAUGGGGUCUCAUGGCUAAUCUUAUGAAUGUGGCUGGUUUUUCUUUUCCAUGGUUGAAUUAAAACAUCUUCUUUUCCUCUUUGGAGAUUCUUGGGGGAGGGAGAAAAGGAAAUGCUUAUGCAGUUUGACCAUUAAUUAUUCUGAAACUCAUUUUUUUUUACCUGAUGGAAAUAUAAUAUAAUUCCUACACUCCAGGAUGCUUUAAUAAAUAAGAAUUCUUUACGCUAGAAUGUCUACAGCUUCAUCUUGGGAACAGUUUUUAUUAAUGGCCCUCUCU